GGCUUCAUAGCUCAGUUGGUUAGAGCGUCGCACCGGUAUCGCGAGGGUACCGUGAGGGUUCAAACCCCGUUGAAGUCC
rnacentral:tRNA from 1 species